CUCGCGAAUCUACACUCUAAAAAUCAGAUCUUUAUCUGAUUUGAAAGUGCUUCAGAACUCCUGAAGUUGGAGCAAUAGCCUGUCGAAAAUGUCCUGCAGCCUUCUGUUCCAGGCAUCAUCACGCCUUGGAUCUUUACCAGAUGGACGUCCAGACCCUAACCCUUGUUUGUGUGACCCAAUUAGGUUCAAUUCCGUAUGGUAAUGAGACAUGUCGUGAUCUCAUCAUCGACAUCAUCGAAACUCCUUUCGAUGGACCAGAACUCUUCUGAUUCAGACAAUUAAAAUAAUCGAUCAUCAAUAUCAUUCUAAUUGCUCCCAAAAUCCACCAAUGACACCUAGCAGUAUAUGGUGGCAACCCAUCAGAACUGAAGACGAACCUCUCGAUGCAGUUACCUGUAUGAUUAAGUUCCUCUAUCAUGAGUCCCGACUGAAUUAGGAUUAAGGUGAACUCAUCAAACCCAACAUCAGUCAUAUGAGUUAAUCGAUCGAUCCGAGUCCGAUGUGAAAUCUUAAUGAAAAACUCUUUUCUAUUAUUUCACUCUGCCAUGGUCAUGAGCUUAAGGACUCGAUCUUUCAAUUAUCAUAGGACUACUCCUCUCAUCUACCGAGAUUGAUAGAUCCCAUCUUGGUGCGAUCUAAUUUCUACAAUGAAUAUGCUACAGCCAACAUACAUCUCAGGGUUCCGAAUGGCUAAGAGACCGAGUUAUGGUGUGUCAAACUAUAACACACUCAAGGUGAACUGUCGAUGCACCUCAGGUCAAAGAACUAGACACAACUGCAGCAUCGAGCUAGUCAUCGAUGAGAAGGUAGACUUCCUUAUGACUGCUUGAUAUGGUCACGCUCAGUACUCUUGUUCUCAACGAAUAUCUGUACUCUCGCUCCGGUGUCUCCAC
rnacentral:lncRNA from 1 species